rnacentral:rRNA from 1 species
UACGUAGGGUGCGAGCGUUGUCCGGAAUUAUUGGGCGUAAAGAGCUUGUAGGCGGUCUGUCGCGUCUGCUGUGAAAAUCCGGGGCUCAACCCCGGACUUGCAGUGGGUACGGGCAGACUAGAGUGUGGUAGGGGAGACUGGAAUUCCUGGUGUAGCGGUGAAAUGCGCAGAUAUCAGGAGGAACACCGAUGGCGAAGGCAGGUCUCUGGGCCGACUACUGACGCUGAGAAGCGAAGCAUGGGAGCGAACAGG